UAUUGGACAAUGGGGGGAACCCUGAUCCAGCGACGCCGCGUGAGUGAAGAAGUAUCUCGGUAGGUAAAGCUCUAUCAGCAGGGAAGAAAGAAAUGACGGUACCUGACCAAGAAGCCCCGGCUAACUACGUGCCAGCAGCCGCGGUAAUACGUAGGGGGCAAGCGUUAUCCGGAUGUACUGGGUGUAAAGGGAGCGUAGACGGUGCAGCAAGUCUGAUGUGAAAGGUCGGGGCCCAACCCCGGGACUGCAUUGGAAACUGUUGAACUGGAGUACAGGAGAGGUAAGCGGAAUUCCUAGUGUAGCGGUGAAAUGCGUAGAUAUUAGGAGGAACACCAGUGGCGAAGGCGGCUUACUGGACUGUAACUGACGUUGAGGCUCGAAAGCGUGGGGAGCAAACA
rnacentral:rRNA from 1 species